rnacentral:rRNA from 1 species
ACAGCAGUAGCCACGGUAAUACGUAGGGUGCGAGCGUUAAUCGGAAUUACUGGGCGUAAAGCGUGCGCAGGCGGUUAUAUAAGACAGAUGUGAAAUCCCCGGGCUCAACCUGGGACCUGCAUUUGUGACUGUAUAGCUAGAGUACGGUAGAGGGGGAUGGAAUUCCGCGUGUAGCAGUGAAAUGCGUAGAUAUGCGGAGGAACACCGAUGGCGAAGGCAAUCCCCUGGACCUGUACUGACGCUCACGCACGAAAGCGUGGGGAGCAAACAGGAUUAGAUACCCGGGUAGUCCCUGUCUCUUAUAA